rnacentral:misc_RNA from 1 species
UCGAAGUGAUGCGUUUUAUAAGAAACAAAGUAUUUUAAUGGUUACUCGAUCUGCGUGCAUCAAUGGGAACGAGUGAUUUCUAAACUUGUUAGAGGAAUGGAAGUUUAACUGACAAAAGUUUAGAGCUGUAUGUGAUCCAUCAAUGAUCGAUGGAAGUUUUUCUUGUUUCUCAAGCUGCAGCAUGUCGAAGUCAUCAAACUUUUUCAAGUUACUAACUCCAACCCCGCCAAUCACUAUGGUAAAAGUUAUAUGGUACCUGGCAGAUAUGAGAUGGCAACUUGAACGUCAGCGAUCCUGGGCUGAGUACGAGUUCAUCUAGAGAAAUUUGUAUCUACAAGUAUCAAACGAAGUACGCUGCCGUAUCUGGAAUUAUAUAUAUGGCAUGGAUGUGUACAAUUCAUCAGUGAUAACAUCGUGUAUCAGCCACUAGCCAAAGCUUUCAUCAUUAUGGUAAGUAAA